CAAAUACUUCAUCUAAUAAAAUAAUUAACUAUAUUUUUUUGACUAACAAAUUAUUGUGAGUUUUAUUCUUGCUAAAUAAUCUUUUUAUUUUUAUUUUAUAUACCAUUUUUGGGCUUUCUAAAAGAAGAAUUUUGUAGUAUAAAAUAUUGUUUGUUAAGUUAACUUAGAUACAGUAAAUUAUGUAGAUUCGGUUAAAUUCGUGCCAGCAUCCGCGGUUAUACGAUUGAGUCAAAAGAUUAUUAUUGGUUAGUAGUAUUUAUUUAAAUUCUUAUUAUUGUUUGUAAUUUUAGGUUAAAUUUAUAUUGUUUUAUAAAUAAUAUAUAUAUUCAUGAUUCUACGAAAUUUAGAUCAUAGACAAGGAUUAGAUACCCUUUUAUACUAGACGUUAAUAUAUUACCUGGGUAGUAAUAGUUAAGUUCUUGAAACCCAAAGAAUUUGGCGGUAUUUUAGUCUUUUCAGAGGAACCUGUUGUGUAAUCGAUAAUCCACGUUUUUAUUUACUUAUGCUUGUACUCAGUUUUUAUACCUCCGUCAUAAGAAUAUUUUUUUAGAAUUAAUUUUCUUAAUUGUUAAAUACAUAUAUGUCAGGUCAAGGUGAAGCUUAUGCAUAAGUACUAAUGGGUUACAAUAAAUUUAUUUAUACGGAUUUUUUAAUUUAUAUUAAAAUUAAAGGUGGAUUUGUAAGUAAAGUUAAUUAAUUAAUUUUCUUGAUUUUAGCUCUAAAAUAUGCACACAUCGCCCGUCGCUCUCAUAAUAAAGUGAGAUAAGUCGUAACAUAGUAGAUUUAUCGGAAGAUGUAUCUAGUAAGUA
rnacentral:ncRNA from 1 species